GAUCAUGGCUCAGGAUGAACGUUGGCGGCGUGCUUAACACAUGCAAGUCGAACGGAACUUAAUGAAACCUAGUGAUUUAAGUUUAGUGGCGGACGGGUGAGUAACGCGUGGGUAACCUGCCGCAUGCAGGGGGACAACAGAGGGAAACUUCUGCUAAUACCGCAUAAGCGCACGGGGCCGCAUGGCCUUGUGUGAAAAAGAUUUAUCGGCAUGCGAUGGACCCGCGUCUGAUUAGGCAGUUGGUGAGGUAACGGCCCACCAAACCUACGAUCAGUAGCCGGCCUGAGAGGGUGAACGGCCACAUUGGGACUGAGACACGGCCCAAACUCCUACGGGAGGCAGCAGUGGGGAAUAUUGCACAAUGGGGGAAACCCUGAUGCAAGCGACGCCGCGUGAGUGAAGAAGCAUUUCGGUGCGUAAAGCUCUGUCAGCAGGAAAGAAAAUGACGGUACCUGACCAAGAAGCCCCGGCUAACUACGUGCCAGCAGCCGC
rnacentral:rRNA from 1 species